rnacentral:rRNA from 1 species
GACGAACGCUGGCGGCGUGCUUAACACAUGCCAGUCGAACGGAAAGGCCCUGCUUUUGUGGGGUGCUCGAGCGGCGAACGGGUGAGUAACACGUGAGUAACCUGCCCUUGACUUUGGGAUAACUUCAGGAAACUGGGGCUAAUACCGGAUAGGAGCUCCUGCUGCAUGGUGGGGGUUGGAAAGUUUCGGCGGUUGGGGAUGGACUCGCGGCUUAUCAGCUUGUUGGUGGGGUAGUGGCUUACCAAGGCUUUGACGGGUAGCCGGCCUGCGAGGGUGACCGGCCACAUUGGGACUGAGAUACGGCCCAGACUCCUACGGGAGGCAGCAGUGGGGAAUAUUGCACAAUGGGCGGAAGCCUGAUGCAGCACCGCCGCGUGCGGGAUGACGGCCUUCGGGUUGUAAACCUCUUUCGCCUGUGACGAAGAGGGAGUGACGGGAAUGGGUAAAGAAGCACCGGCUAACUACGUG